UACGUAGGGUGCAAGCGUUAAUCGGAAUUACUGGGCGUAAAGCGUGCGCAGGCGGCUAUGCAAGACAGAUGUGAAAUCCCCGGGCUCAACCUGGGAACUGCAUUUGUGACUGCAUGGCUAGAGUACGGUAGAGGGGGAUGGAAUUCCGCGUGUAGCAGUGAAAUGCGUAGAUAUGCGGAGGGACACCGAUGGCGAAGGCAAUCCCCUGGACCUGUACUGACGCUCAUGCACGAAAGCGUGGGGAGCAAACAGG
rnacentral:rRNA from 1 species